GGAGUUGUAGCUCAGUGGUAGAGCGCUCACCUAGCAUGUGUGAGGCCCUGAGUUCGAUCCUCAGCACCA
rnacentral:tRNA from 1 species